rnacentral:rRNA from 1 species
AUUUGGCUAAGUUACUAAGGGCACACGGUGGAUGCCUAGGCACAGGGUGGCGAUGAAGGACGUGGCUACCUGCGAUAAGCCCCGGGGAGGCGGUAGCAGCCUGUGAUCCGGGGAUCUCCGAAUGGGGCAACCCGUCCCGAGUAAUGUCGGGACAUCCCGGCGAAAGCUGGGAGGCAAACGGGGGGAAGUGAAAUAUCUCAGUACCCCCAGGAAAAGAAAGCAAAAGCGAUUCCCUUAGUAGCGACGAGCGAACGGGGAAGAGCCCAAACUGGCAAUGUGUAAAAGGCCACGGCCGUUGCAUUGCCAGGGUUGUGGGACAUCCGCGGGCCGAGCCGUGGGUUAGGCCGGGAAGUUACAAAUCAUCUCGUUAGCCGAAUGACCUGGAAAGGUCAGCCAUAGAGGGUGAAAGCCCCGUAGGCGAAAACGAGAUGACUUCCUGGCGGGUGUUCCCAAGUACCACGGGAUAAGCGGAACCCUGUGGGAAUCAGGGAGAACCAUCUCCCAAGGCUAAAUACACCCCUGUGACCGAUAGUGCACCAGUACCGUGAGGGAAAGGUGAAAAGAACCCCGGGAGGGGAGUGAAAUAGAACCUGAAACCGUGUGCCUACAAACGGUGGGAGCGAGUCCUACCUUGGUUUUCCGAGGUAGGAUGAGUGACCGCGUGCCUUUUGCUUAAUGAGCCAGGGAGUUGCCGUACGUUGCGAGGUUAACGGCCUUAGGCCGGGAGCCGUAGCGAAAGCGAGUCCGAAUAGGGCGUUUUAGUAACGUGCGGCAGACGCGAAACCGUGUGAUCUACCCAUGGCCAGGGUGAAGUGGGGGUAAUACCCCAUGGAGGCCCGAACCGGUGUGGGUUGAAAACCGCUCGGAUGAGCUGUGGGUAGGAGUGAAAAGCUAAUCGAACACGGUGAUAGCUCGUACUCCCCGAAAUAGCUUUAGGGCUAGCCUCGCGUAACAGAGUGGCGGAGGUAGAGCACUGAUUGGGCUAGGGGCGUCACAACGCUACCAAACCCAGUCAAACUCCGAAUUCCGCCACGUCGUUUCGCGGGAGUCAGGCAGUGGGGGAUAAGCUCCAUUGCCGAGAGGGGAAGAACCCAGACCGCCAGCUAAGGCCCCAAAGUACAGGCUAAGUGAGACAAAGGAUGUCGGGUUGCUAAGACAGCCAGGAUGUUGGCUUAGAAGCAGCCAUUCAUUUAAAGAGUGCGUAACAGCUCACUGGUCGAGCGACCCGGCGCCGAAAAUUCUCGGGGCUUAAGCCUGUCGCCGAAGCUGCGGUCCCGAUAGAUUUCAGAUCUAUCGGGAGGUAGGGGAGCAUUCUAUCCGGGUUGAAGUCCUGGCGUGAGCUGGGAUGGACUGGAUAGAAGAGCGGAUCCUGGCAUUAGUAGCGAUAAGGAGGGUGAGAAUCCCUCCCGCCGAAAGCCUAAGGUUUCCUUGCGCAACGUUCGUCGGCGCAGGGUUAGCCGGCCCCUAAGGCGAGGCCGAAAGGCGUAGCCGAUGGGAAACGGGUUAAUAUUCCCGUGCCUGCUUGAAACCGUUUGACCGUGAGGGGUGACGCAGGAGCGAAGGGCCAGCCACCUGCCGGCUUAGGUGGUCUAAGCCUGUAGGAGGAGGAUGUAGGCAAAUCCGCAUCCUCAUAACUCCGAGAGGCGAAUGGGAGGGCGUAAGCCCACAAACUGGUCUGGAGCACACUGCCAAGAAAAACCUCGCACGGGAGGUUUCAAGCAGACCGUACCGCAAACCGACACAGGUAGGCGGGGUGAGUAUCCUAAGGCGCGCGAGUGAGCCGUGGCUAAGGAACUCGGCAAAUUGGCCCCGUAACCUCGGGAGAAGGGGUGCCCCUAGUAGGUGAGUUCCCUUGCGGAACGAGCCCAACGGGGUCGCAGUGAAAGGGUCCAAGCGACUGUUUAUCAAAAACACAGGUCUCUGCCAACUCGUAAGAGGAGGUAUAGGGACUGACACCUGCCCGGUGCCGGAAGGUUAAGGGGAGGGGUUAGCCCGCAAGGGCGAAGCUCCAAACCGA